rnacentral:lncRNA from 1 species
GGCGGGCAGGACGGUGAAGUCCCGGUGAAGCAAAAUCCCGCAUGAUCUCCCAUGCACUAAGAAUGGAAAUGGCACCCUUCUUCCCCACGAGGCUUUGGUGCCCAAACCGUAAACACUACAACACCCUUCUUCUUCUUCUUCUUCUUCUUCUUUUCUUUAUUUUAAAAUGAAAGGUAAAAAGGACUACAAAGAAUCAACUUUGUACAUGGGAUCCAUUUGCAGAGCUUGAUUAGAGGGCCAAUUAGAGGGGAUGAAGGGUGCAACAAUCCUCCUCCUCUCCCCAUAGCCAAACAUAUUUCCUAAUAAAUACUAUAGUAUGCACUUUUAUUUAACAAGGCAAGGGAGCCACAGCUAACAAUGCUAAAGAGUACUAUUGUUUGUGUUCUACACACACCCACAUCCCCCCAUUCCUUUAUCACACUCCCUUUCUUUAUAGCAGUGCUUCAUCCUGACAAGUCGUGUUGCAUAAUUCUUAUCAAAAUUGGCUUCUUCCAGUUGCCAUUCCCAUGGGGGUAUCUGAGAUCUUGACUUCAUAAAGACAAAACAAACAAAUGAAUCAUUUAAUGAAGGAAAGAAACAAAGAAAAAACAAGGUGUGCCUGUCCUCUUCAGAGAGCAUUGCAUAAUAGACUGUUUAUUUGUUUGUUUGUUUUAUUUCUUAAUCCAUUUCUCACUAUCAUAGUUAUUGUUGUUGUUCUCUUUCUUUUGUUUGAAUGUUAUUGUUGGUUUCCGUGAGUUGGCUUUUGUAUGUUGGAAAGGAAGCCAAUGACAGGUGCGGGGAUUAUGUGGUAUACUAAUCUUGUGCCCUAAUCAAUCAUCUGGAAACUGCACAUUCUCCCCCCUUGUCUGUGUGUGUGUGUGUCUGAAUGUUGUUGAUAUUUUUAUUAAAGCAAUAAAGCCCUUCUGUGGCAUCUGGCAGAAACCCUGAGAAUUUAUUGUGAGGAAUCCUACAAAAAUGAAUUAAAAUGUUUUUUUUUCGUGCACCAAGCCCUGCAGCUGUUGAGGAGGGUGCGCAAAAUAUUAUACACUUGUCCAGGUGGGGUUUUAUUAAUUAAUUUGUAUAUAUGAUUGGUUUAAGUUCCUUGCUGUAGUGAUGUAAGGCAGGUGCACACCUUUGUCCUUGUAAAGUGAUGAGACAAACUGAGGUGGUUUCCAUUCCAAGGCAUUGCGUGUUUUAGGUCAAUAAGGAUGUAAAUCACACAUGGAUCACCACAAAACAACAUCAUCAACAAUCAUACAUGUAUAUAUAGAUAGAUAGAUAGAUCAUUAGAAUAGUAAUAGACUCAAAUAAUAACAAACUUGCUAUGUUUGCACCAUUCAUAUCACUACAUCUGUCUAUUAGUGUAUGGGUGCAAUUUUUUUAAUUCUUUUGAAGUCUUGGCUUAAUAGGAAACCUGCCCUUAAAGCCAUGUGACUUCUAUCAUAAGAAAUUUGGUUGCAAGCAGCUUCCUUGCCCACAAAAGAAGACCAUUUUAUGUGGAAGAUGACAAGAUAUUGAAUUGAUCUUGUGCAUUUUGAAAUAAUAUUGUGUAUUUUAUUUGUUCUAUAACAAACAUGUAUUAUUAUUAUUUCAAAAUGAUUUUUUUAUAUCAUUUUAAAGAAUUAAAAAAAUUGAAAUAUUGUGAGGAGUUCAAAUAGGUCUUUGUUGGAAAAAUACAUGGUACAGAAAUACUAAUAAAAUUUACAAGCAGCAUAAAAAUUUUAAAAAAAUCUUGGAAAAUUUACUACAAGUGUAUUUUAAAAGAAGUGUUCAUAUUGCAUAUUAGGCUCUAUAUCCAACUUAAAACGUGAAGAUUUCUUCAACCUGUUGUAAACGAAACUGACAUUAAACAAAGCUGGCAUUGUGAAUGCUUGCACAUACUUAUCACAACAAAAGCAUUGUAAAGCUUUGAAUUCAAGUAAAUAAAUGCAAUUCGCAUUUGGAAAUAAUAAUGUAUAUUUGUUAGAGUGUUACAUUUUUUUCAAUCUUAGUUAAAUAUAAGUUUGAUUACAAACAACAAAUAAAUAAAUAAGUAUUAACUAAAAAUAUAUAUACUUCAUGUUUUAUAAUAAUCUGGGAACAUUGUAUUUUU